GCAAGGCAAGAUGUUGGCAUAGCUGAAGCACAGUUUCCUCAGCUAUGCUACAUGAGGCCAUGCA
rfam:Angiostrongylus costaricensis strain Costa Rica genome assembly, scaffold: ACOC_scaffold0000926